UACGGAGGGGGCAAGCGUUAUCCGGAUUUACUGGGUUUAAAGGGUGCGUAGGCGGGCCCUUAAGUCAGUGGUGAAAGCUCCGAGCUUAACUCGGAAACUGCCAUUGAUACUAUAGGUCUUGAAUUCGGUCGAGGUUGGCGGAAUGUGUCGUGUAGCGGUGAAAUGCUUAGAUAUGACACAGAACACCGAUUGCGAAGGCAGCUAGCUAGACCGGCAUUGACGCUGAGGCACGAAAGCGUGGGGAUCAAACAGG
rnacentral:rRNA from 1 species